GGUGCUGCAUGGCUGUCGUCAGCUCGUGUCGUGAGAUGUUCGGUUAAGUCCCGCAACGAGCGCAACCCUUGCCAUCAGUUGCUCGAAAGGGCACUCUGAUGGGACUGCCGGUGACAAACCGGAGGAAGGUGGGGAUGACGUCAAGUCCUCAUGGCCCUUAUAGGUGGGGCUACACACGUCAUACAAUGGCCGGUACAAAGGGCAGCCAACCCGCGAGGGGGAGCCAAUCCCAUAAAGCCGGUCGUAGUCCGGAUCGCAGUCUGCAACUCGACUGCGUGAAGUCGGAAUCGCUAGUAAUCGUGGAUCAGCAUGUCACGGUGAAUACGUUCCCGGGUCUU
rnacentral:rRNA from 1 species